AGGCUUCGCCUCGCUCCCUACCUGGUCGCAGACGUUGCAGACGAGUAGGGUCGACGAGGCUGGGGGCUGCAGCGGGUGGCAGGCGCCGUCAUGCCCCGGUAUUACGAAGACAAGCCGGAGGGCGCUGCAUGCUCGGGCGUGAAGGAGGACCUGGGUGCAUGCCUGCUGGAGUCGGACUGUGUGCUCCAGGAAGGAAAAUCCCCUCGGCAGUGUUUGAAGGAAGGAUACUGCAAAGCUUUGAAAUAUUCAUUUUUUGAGUGUAAAAGAUCAAUGUUGGAUGCCAGAUCAAGAUUCAGAGGAAGAAAAGGUUAUUGAUACCAUUAUUGAAACCAAGAUGAAAACAACAAAGGAUUUUCUCUGGCCAUUAAAACAGAGGAGUCAAAAUAGGAAACAGUUUUUGCUACAUCUCUUUGGUUGGACUACUUUUUCCUUCCAUGGAACACUAGAGAAAAUGGAUGAGUUGUGUUUUUGAAUAUAUAUAAAGUAAAUGAUUCUCUUGAUGUAAGUUAGUUUUAGAAGAAAAAUUUAAUUUAACAGUUAUGGGCUGGGAGCAUAAUAAAUGUGUUUUGAGCAUUGUUCUAAAGCA